GGCCAAUGAGCAGCGAGAAGGAAGUGACGUCACACUCCCAACAUGGUGAGGAAGGAGGGAAGUGUCGGCAGUUGCUCCUGAGUUUUCCCUUCUGGUGACGAAUUGGCAAAGUAUUCUGGACUGAGAGAAAUCCCUGGACUGCGAUCUCACUGUGACCCGAGAGGAGGUGGCCACUCAUCGCUGAAGUUACACUGGCUCCCUUCCUUAUGCAGAGAAGCCAAGUCAAGAGACCCUGAAUGGUGGUAAGGAGACACUCUGCUGCCGGGAACACUGCAUCGCCAAGUCAAGCCAGGCCAAGGUCGCAAGAUUAAUGGCCACAGUCUUCACUCUUUUAAUCCCCCACCAAAUAGUCACCACAAGGGAUAUGGAAAUGUGUCACCCUACUGAAGGGGUUAAUGGUGUUUUCACGAAGCUUUGUAAAAACUGGUUAUUUUUGUCAUGAAAGCUGUGUGUGUGUGUGUGUGUGUGUGUGUGUGUGUGUAUUGUUUUCAUAUAUAUUAUUA